AUUGAACGCUGGCGGCAGGCCUAACACAUGCAAGUCGAGCGAGCGGCGGACGGGUGAGUAAUGUCUGGGCAACUGCCUGAUGGAGGGGGAUAACUACUGUAAACGGUAGCUAAUACCGCAUACCAUCAGAUGUGCCCAGAUGGGAUUAGCUAGUAGGUGGGGUAACGGCUCACCUAGGCGACGAUCCCUAGCUGGUCUGAGAGGAUGACCAGCAACACGGGAACUGAGACACGGGCCAGACGCCUACGGGAGGCAGCAGUGGGGAAGAUUGCACAAUGGGCGCAAGCCUGAUGCAGCCAUGCCGCGUGUAUGAAGAAGGCAGUCGGGUUGUAAAGUACUGUCAGCGGGGAGGCGUUACCCGCAGAAGAAGCACAGGCUAACACCGUGCCAGCAGCCGCGGUAAUAC
rnacentral:rRNA from 1 species